GGCGAACUGUCUGUGUAUGAACUUCAGCGACUUGAACAUGAGAGAGAAGGUUUUUUUGUCAUCUUUGAAGAUUUCACAAGCAUGUGGACAUGCAGCAGAGGAUCUCCGGACUCGGGAUGCAAGUGAGGCCAAAGCAAGAUAAUGAAGACCUUGAAUGCAGACAGGCCUAGGCAGACACUGCUGAGAAGACCAUGGGCAUCUACACAGUCCGGACAGAGGGUGAUGGUCUAGGUGAUGCAUGUUUUGAAGAUGUCUGUGUGGCACUGGACGGUGUGAGUUCUCCAGAGCCUGCGGAGUGUCGGCCAUGCAUGUGUUGGGCUUUAUGAACGAAUCUAUGCACCAACUUGAGCUAUCCAAAAAGACUGCGAAAUAUACAUACAUUUGAGGGUUACCAGAAAGUUCUGAUGGACCUGUACUCAAGCAAGCUUGAAAUAGCUCCUGUGAUUCAGUGGCAUACACGCCUGUUAGACUCUCACUUCGCUUCCGCUCACACUGCCGCAGUGGCAUUGGUUGUGACCCGUAGAUGGUCGACCAGGGGAAAAAAACUAUAAAACUCAUGAUAUUUUUGUCUUCGACCAAGUGGUCAGUGUGGAGGAGUUUGAGGUUUUUUUUUUUUUUUUUAAUCCAUGUCUGCUGUCGGCCACAUACACACAACUGUUGCCCACACACCAGCGGCCUAUACUACAAAACUGGUUCAGGAUACGUUAAGGUUAAGUUGAG